rnacentral:rRNA from 1 species
AGAGUUUGAUCAUGGCUCAGAGCGAACGCUGGCGGCAGGCUUAACACAUGCAAGUCGAGCGGGCGUAGCAAUACGCCAGCGGCAGACGGGUGAGUAACGCGUGGGAACAUACCUUUUGGUUCGGAACAACACAGGGAAACUUGUGCUAAUACCGGAUAAGCCCUUACGGGGAAAGAUUUAUCGCCGAAAGAUUGGCCCGCGUCUGAUUAGCUAGUUGGUGAGGUAACGGCUCACCAAGGCGACGAUCAGUAGCUGGUCUGAGAGGAUGAUCAGCCACAUUGGGACUGAGACACGGCCCAAACUCCUACGGGAGGCAGCAGUGGGGAAUAUUGGACAAUGGGCGCAAGCCUGAUCCAGCCAUGCCGCGUGAGUGAUGAAGGCCCUAGGGUUGUAAAGCUCUUUUGUGCGGGAAGAUAAUGACGGUACCGCUUAGAAUAG